AGUAACCCCGCAAGAAACACAGACAUGGUCAGCAGAAACAAGACCAGCAGCCGCAGUUACACAAACAACAGCCGUCGGUAUGUUUACGUUUACAAAAGGGAUGUAAAGAUUGCAUGGUCCAGGCGAGUGUAUGUUCUAUCGGAUGUUGUAUAUACCUUGGCUGCUGCUUCUGCUGCUGCCCUAAAUUUUUUUAUUCUGUAACACAAGCUGUGAAAAAUAAA